CGCCCCGACCAGUGCUGACCUCCUCCGGAAGUUCCACAGUGAUCCUGCCCAAGACAGGCGAGAGGACCCUUGUCUGCCAGGCCUCACUGAUUGAUGUUGAGUUCCAGCUGAGGCAGGGCGAGCAGGAGCUGAAUCUCCCCUCCAUCAGCACCAGCCCAGAGCAAAUCAAGUUCUAUCUGAAACUCUCGGACCUGGCUGACCAGAGCCCCUUCACCUGCGGCUACCGUCUUCUCGCGAGUGCAGCUUGGUCCAGAGACAGUGAGCCGGUAGAGCUAAUUUGGAGUGAUGAUCCUGGAAGAGAAAUGACUGAGUGUGUUGGAGAAGAGCUCUGUCUCUGAAUGAGGGAUGUGGAGAAGCGUGUCCUUCACAAUGUGUGAUGAAGAAAGAGGCUGUAUCACUGCGUGCUAGAGUUAAGUUACCCUGGGCAAGAAGCUGCUAAGCCCUGGAAGGUAUGUGGAGGCCUCUGAGGGACAUUUCCCAAACUCCUGUGUCAGCUGCCUUCCCUGAGGUUUGGCCUAGAAGUCCACGAAAAGGAGCAGUGAGUUUCUUCUUCCAUUUACAUUUCCAGCUUCUUCUGCUACCUCCUCUGGUGGUAGGAGUUGAAGUGGAUUGUCUGGUGGAUGCUGGCGCCAUGUACUACAACUACCGAGGGCAGCAAUAGCGGCAGCAGACUUCUGGUAGUUCAGCAGCACGCAACCUCCCACGUCUCUCCUAAAUACUGAGCAUGCUCCAUGGCCCCGCGUGGCGACUUCUACCCGUCACUUCUCUAUCUCCAUCAGAGCACUGCGACUAUUUAUCAGCAACAAAUCUCUCUUUGCUGGAAACAUCUGCAGGGCUUCUUACUUUCUUCACUGGGCACUAAUGACUCGAUUAAUACACAGGGAAAUUUGAGUAGCGUGUUCCAAAAUAAACGGCCAGGCAGUAACCUAAAGCCCAAAUGUAAAAAAAGACAAUACGCAGAUGCAAAUCAAGCGAGGGCCCUGAAGCACAGCGCUGCUGUCCUCCCUCUGUCUGCGUCCUGCGGUUGAAUGGAAGGAUGGCGCCACGAAAGGGAUUGUUGGGUGGCUGGGAUAGACAAUAAAUGGAUGAGAAUACACCCCUUGCACAAGCUCCUAGUGAACCCCCAGUAUGAUCGAUGGCUGCGCUGGAUGCUGGGUCAGUGAGUGAAUAAAUAAAUGUUUAAAAAUGAAGAUACACCAAGUCAGAACAAAUCAACGUGGGGAAUGAAAUUCUCCCUGUCUCUAUAUCCUUAGGUGCCUGGCUGCACCUAAGAAACUGUAUGCUCCCAUCCAUUAUGUAGUAUAAGCAGAUGAUAAACACACAUGUGUUAAACUAAUAAAUCACAAAAGCA